CCCUAGGGAGCAGUGGAGGGCUGCAGCAUGGGCUUCACCAAGUUCUGUGCUGCUCUGCUGAACCACCCCAACACGGAGCUGCAGGCAAUCCCACAGACCAUACUGGACCAGGGGUUAGAAGCACUGAGCGGACCCCGGAGCAGCUCGAUAACGCGCCGUGCUGCCGGCUUCCCCAUGCUCUUCCUCUGCAUUGUCAGCGGGGAAAACCCAGCCCAGGUGACCGCAGUGCACGCUGAUCCCUUUGCCAUUAAAGCC
rnacentral:lncRNA from 1 species